ensembl:lncRNA
GAGAACAAGGAAGGCAGACUCUGCUGAGGGGAAACCUGCACCAGCCAGCAGUACUGUGACAGAACCGCCGCCUAAAGAGAACACAGAGCCCGUGGGGAAGCACAGAGAGGACGUCAUCCUACUGUCCGGCCCGAGCCAGGCCAACAAACUGGACCUAGAUCCAAGGGAGGACGUGGUUCCGUCUGUGACCUUCAAAGAACGGCGUUCCCUGCGCACCCUCACAGGCCUGGACCACAUACAGUCUCAGCAGAGAGCGGAGGUCAUCUGAGCACUAUACACCUGGACUAGAAGAGGUCUAAGCGAUCCUUUCACAUUUUAUUCCACCAAGGAUAUUUGUAAGACCUGCACUUGAAGAAAGCACUUAAGAGAUAUUUCCCCAAUAUCACUUGACAGACCUUCUGGUCAGCUUUAGACCCUCUUGGUGGACAUAACUGCCAAUCACAAUCUUUUACAUAGAGGCCUAGAUGAUAGACUGCUAUAAGAUUUCCUUUUUAUAUUUCACAUUUUAUUAGAAUUCUAUUAUAUGCUUGAAACUGUUGCAAUGCUGCUAAUUCUGCCUUAUCAGAACUAGAAAUUUUCCGUUAUCUUCUUCUUCAGUGCUGGCUUAAGCUUUAUCCAUAAACUCACUCCCUUUAGGUGAGACUCCUAUCACGUGUUGCUGCUAAUUCAUCUCAGUUCCCAGUGUGAGAUCUCCC